UGGGGAAUUUUGGACAAUGGGCGCAAGCCUGAUCCAGCCAUGCCGCGUGCGGGAAGAAGGCCUUCGGGUUGUAAACCGCUUUUGUCAGGGAAGAAAUCUUCUGAGUUAAUACCUCGGGAGGAUGACGGUACCUGAAGAAUAAGCACCGGCUAACUACGUGCCAGCAGCCGCGGUAAUACGUAGGGUGCAAGCGUUAAUCGGAAUUACUGGGCGUAAAGCGUGCGCAGGCGGUUUUGUAAGACAGAGGUGAAAUCCCCGGGCUCAACCUGGGAACUGCCUUUGUGACUGCAAGGCUUGAGUGCGGCAGAGGGGGAUGGAAUUCCGCGUGUAGCAGUGAAAUGCGUAGAUAUGCGGAGGAACACCGAUGGCGAAGGCAAUCCCCUGGGCCUGCACUGACGCUCAUGCACGAAAGCGUGGGGAGCAAACAGGAUUAGAUACCCUGGUAGUCCACGCCCUAAACGAUGUCAACUGGUUGUUGGGAAGGUUCCUUCUCAGUAACGUAGCUAACGCGUGAAGUUGACCGCCUGGGGAGUACGGCCGCAAGGUUGAAAGCUCAAAGGAAUUGACGGGGUGCA
rnacentral:rRNA from 1 species